rnacentral:rRNA from 1 species
UAGGGAAUCUUCGGCAAUGGGGGCAACCCUGACCGAGCAACGCCGCGUGAGUGAAGAAGGUUUUCGGAUCGUAAUGCUCUGUUGUAAGAGAAGAACGUGUGUGAGAGUGGAAAGUUCACACAGUGACGGUAACUUACCAGAAAGGGACGGCUAACUACGUGCCAGCAGCCGCGGUAAUACGUAGGUCCCGAGCGUUGUCCGGAUUUAUUGGGCGUAAAGCGAGCGCAGGCGGUUUAAUAAGUCUGAAGUUAAAGGCAGUGGCUUAACCAUUGUUCGCUUUGGAAACUGUUAAACUUGAGUGCAGAAGGGGAGAGUGGAAUUCCAUGUGUAGCGGUGAAAUGCGUAGAUAUAUGGAGGAACACCGGUGGCGAAAGCGGCUCUCUGGUCUGUAACUGACGCUGAGGCUCGAGAGCGUGGGGAGCAAACAGG